rnacentral:rRNA from 1 species
GAGGAAUAUUGGUCAAUGGACGUAAGUCUGAACCAGCCAAGUAGCGUGCAGGAUGACGGCCCUAUGGGUUGUAAACUGCUUUUGUAUGGGGAUAAAGUCAAUCACGUGUGAUUGUUUGCAGGUACCAUACGAAUAAGGACCGGCUAAUUCCGUGCCAGCAGCCGCGGUAAUACGGAAGGUUCGGGCGUUAUCCGGAUUUAUUGGGUUUAAAGGGAGCGUAGGCCGGAGAUUAAGUGUGUUGUGAAAUGUAGACGCUCAACGUCUGACUUGCAGCGCAUACUGGUUUCCUUGAGUACGCACAACGUUGGCGGAAUUCGUCGUGUAGCGGUGAAAUGCUUAGAUAUGACGAAGAACUCCGAUUGCGAAGGCAGCUGACGGGAGCGCAACUGACGCUGAAGCUCGAAGGUGCGGGUAUCGAACAGGAUUAGAUACCCUGGUAGUCCGCACAGUAAACGAUGGAUGCCCGCUGUUGGUACCUAGUAUCAGCGGCUAAGCGAAAGCAUUAAGCAUCCCACCUGGGGAGUACGCCGGCAACGGUG